rnacentral:lncRNA from 1 species
UGUUCAUCUAUGAAACACUUGGUUUUAAGGGAAUAACUAAAGCCUUUGUGAUCCAGAAGAGGUUUGAUUUGGCAAAUUAUAUAGCCCUUAUUAUUUGAAUCAUAGCUAUAAAAGAGAAACACAUUCUUCUCAUAGGAAAAAAAGUGGAUAUAUAUGUACAAGAUUUUGUAAGCUGUCACUGUCUUGAAAUCAAUUGGCAAAAAUAUUCUACAGUCUAAGAGUAUUCAUAGGAUGGGGGCUUUGCAAACAUUGGAAAAGGAUUCAGCUAAUGAGCAGUAAGAAGAAUAGCACUUGCUUCUCUUUAUAGUGACCAUCUAUGAUGGAAUAUUGGUUCUUAUGGUCAGAGAUGUAGCAUACUGGAUCUUGUUCCUCCAGGAAGCAGCAUUUUGGGAAAACAAUCAGAAUUACAUUUUUAGAAAAUGGAGAUCAGCAUAUGAUGCCAACUUCAAGGAAACCCUCCAAGCCUGUGAUCUAAUUGCAAUGUGGCAACCUCCUUUUGCCUUCUUCAGUGCAUCUCAUUUAAAUUGAUGUCCAAAUAGCUUUGAAUACCUUUAAAUCCGUGUUAUAAACUUUUAAAAACACAAUAGAACUAUCUAGAAAUGAUGUUUCUUAUAAAGAUAAAGCUAAAAGUCAUGGGAAAAAGUAAGAUAAACUGCAGUUAAGAUUUACUUGUCCUUCACUGUAGUUGAAUCAGUAGAGAAGAUACAAG